rnacentral:rRNA from 1 species
GACGAACGCUGGCGGCGUGCUUAACACAUGCAAGUCGAACGGAAAGGCCCUGCUUUUGUGGGGUGCUCGAGUGGCGAUCGGGUGAGUAACACGUGAGUAACCUGCCCUUGACUUUGGGAUAACUUCAGGAAACUGGGGCUAAUACCGGAUAGGUGCUCCUGCUGCAUGGUGGGGGCUGGAAAGUUUCGGCGGGUGGGGAUGGACUCGCGGCUCAUCAGCUUGUUGGUGGGGUAGUGGCUUACCAUGGCUUUGACGGGUAGCCGGCCUGGGAGGGUGAACGGCCACAUUGGGUCUGAAAUACGGCCCAGCCUCCUACCGGACGCAGCAGUGGGGAAUAUUGCACAAUGGGCGGAAGCCUGAUGCGGCAACGCCGCGUGCGGGAUGACGGCCUUCGGGUUGUAAACCGCUUUCGCCUGUGACGAAGCGUGAGUGACGGUAAUGGGUAAAGAAGCACCGGCUAACUACGUG